rnacentral:tRNA from 1 species
GGUCCCAUCGUCUAGUGGUUAGGACACCGGCCUCUCACGUCGGUAACACGGGUUCGACCCCCGUUGGGACCACCA